UACGUAGGAAGCAAGCGUUAUCCGGAUUUAUUGGGCGUAAAGUGAGCGUAGGUGGUCUUUCAAGUUGGAUGUGAAAUUUCCCGGCUUAACCGGGACGAGUCAUUCAAUACUGUUGGACUAGAGUACAGCAGGAGAAAACGGAAUUCCCGGUGUAGUGGUAAAAUGCGUAGAUAUCGGGAGGAACACCAGAGGCGAAGGCGGUUUUCUAGGUUGUCACUGACACUGAGGCUCGAAAGCGUGGGGAGCGAACAGAAUUAGAUACUCUGGUAGUCCACGCCUUAAACUAUGGACACUAGGUAUAGGGAGUAUCGACCCUCUCUGUGCCGAAGCUAACGCUUUAAGUGUCCCGCCUGGGGAGUACGGUCGCAAGGCUAAA
rnacentral:rRNA from 1 species